rnacentral:rRNA from 1 species
GACGUAGGAUGCAAGCGUUGUCCGGAAUUAUUGGGCGUAAAGAGUUCGUAGGCGGUUGCCUAAGUCUGAUGUUAAAUACUGGAGCUCAACUCCGGCAUGGCAUUGGAAACUGGGCGGCUAGAGUGUGGUAGAGGUCUCGGGAAUUCCAGGUGUAGCGGUGAAAUGCGUAGAUAUCUGGAGGAACACCGGUGGCGAAGGCGGUUCUCUGGGCAUGACCUGACGCUGAGGAGCGAAAGUGUGGGGGAGCGAACAGG